rnacentral:lncRNA from 1 species
GAUCAAUUUACUAUAUAUAUAUAUAUAUAUAUGCACAUAUGUAUCUAUAUAUAUACAGCAAAGACUCUAAAACAAGACAUUUCCAAGCGAUAAUAAAGGCUUAAUAAUCAAGACCACUAUGAUAUAUUGCUUAGGUCGUAAGAACUGUUAACGUUAUUUUUGAACUGAGUAGGAAAAGAUUUGUAAUCAGCUUCUCAAACUGAAGUGGGAACAAGCAGGAGUCCUGUCUCCUGUGCUAGAGGACUUCCCUACCAGACAAGUGCACACCACCCUGCUGGGCCCUGGCUGUUCCCCAGCACCACUAGAAUUCCCAACAGGACGGCACAGUGUAGCAGCUGGAAAGUGUCUCUGUGCAACUUGAUUUAACUUAAAGAGCAGAAUUACUCACACAGGAUUCAAUUAUAGACCCAAUUCUACGCAGUUCACAGCCAGAAGAGAGGAAAGAAAGGACCACAUUAGGUACAGUCAUAAUGGUUCUGCAAUUUCUUACUAUGUAGAAUGUUAUCUACAUAGAUCCAGAGCCUUUCAACAAUAUCUUCCUGCAGUUCAAGCUUUUUCUUAUAAAAUGCAACCAAUGACUGCCUUG